rnacentral:lncRNA from 1 species
UUUAAGACACCUAGGUAAGGUUAUAAGCACGAGCCCGAGUGAAGCAGUGUUUGAAUUUAGGCUGUGUCACUUCCUAAUAAUGUGUGUGGUUACGCAAUUUCCUUGUGUCUCAAUAAAAUAGAAGUAAUAAUAACAGAGCCUCCCUCAGAGGGCUGUUGGAGGAGUAGAUGAGGUGCUACAUGCAGGGCCCUGAGAACUGUCCUGUCGCUCAGGAAGCAAGUUUUGCAGGGUGUGGACAAUCGGGCAAGUGACUGCAUGUGACAACAGAGAGAGGGCAUGGUACACGGUGGCAGAUGAGCCCGGGACUGGAGGCAGAUCUGGGUUCCAGUUCGGGCUCUACCAGCAGCACCCAUGUGUCCUUCUGUUCUCUGGGCCUCAAUUUCCUGUUGUAAAAUUCAGAACUUGGAAGAGGUAAGUGGUUAGGUCAUUCCUGAGACAUCCCAGAUAAUCACAGCCAUCCAAACGUUGGCUCGGGAGCCCUGAGUAACCAAGACUGCAGGAAGCAACAGUUUAGUAAGGGUUCAGAAUCCUGUGAUUAGGGCUCGAGAAUGAAAUACUCUUCUAAGAGCUUCUCCCAGACCAAAAGGAGCUAAUUAGGAAAGAAUGGUGGCAUUCUCUGGGCAAACUGGAGGAGCCCCUGGGCUUGGCCUCCUUAUGCCUUCCUCCUUGACCCUCCUCUAGCCCCCUUGGACACAACACAACGUCCCCCCUCUGCUUUUUCCCCAGAUACUAUGGUAAACCUGCUCUCAGAUCUUUCUCCACACCUAGAAAAAUUCAUUCAUCGACUAUACACUUUAAUGAAUAUGCACUUACUAUGUACCAGAUAUUCUUUGGCUGCUAGGGCAGAGCAGCAGGGACAUAGCCCCUGUCCCCGUGGGGUCAACAUGCUGGUGGAGGGAGUCAGAGGUAAUAAAAUAAGCAAGUAAGACACACAGUAGAGCAGGCAGAGUUGGCGGAGAACUGGAUCUAACUGGGUUGGGGUUUUGCCAAGCAAGUACAGUCCAACUUGGAGUGUGGAGGGAAGGGUAUAGAAAAGGUAGGGACUAGAAUAACUAACCCUGGAAUUUAGGCUGGGAAAGGAGGGAGUAGGGAUUUGAAAGCGGGUGAGGUCAGUAGUCUGUGGGGCCCUGAGGGGCGAUGGCUCCAAGGCACGAGCCGGAAAGAGGUUUGACAGUGGCUUCUCUGGAGGGCUCAAGCUUGACCAGGAAACUGAGUGCCGAGCCCUGGAAGAUCACUGGGGAGAGGAGGUCAAAGAACUGGGAGGCCAGGGCACCAUCGGCGGGCUGGUAAGUGGAUGGUGAAACCACCAGGCAGGGGGCAGGAGGAGCUGGAGAGAGGACGCGAGAUGGGAGCUAAAAUCCUAAAAUCCGCAGGGAGUGCGGAAAGCAGUGACAGCAGUGAGCGCGGGGAGGCUGGUCCUGAGUCUGGGAUGGGGCGAUGGCGUUCAAGAAGACAUAUUUAAGAGUACUAUGUAAUUUUACGUGUGGGAAGAACCUUUUGUUUUUGUAAUUAGAACUACAGAAAGGGACAGAGCUGUUUAUGUCAUGAAAAGCAGGCCUGAGCAUUAGAAGACUGAGAAACACCUGGGAGGAUCUUGUUUCAACAGAGCUCAAAGCCGUGGCAAAAGGACGGAGCUCGAAUUGUGCAAUUAAACCCAGGCCCCCAGCAAAUGGAAAAUGCCAUCCACUGGCACAGAGACUUCAGUUGGGAGCCGAGGACUGAACUCAGACCACCAUUCUUUGUUCAACAUUUCUUCCUGAGGGGCCUGGAGGAAGUCACACCCACAGGCCAGAGCUCAACAUUCCUUUCUGCUGACCCCAGGCACCAGUCCAUGGCACUCCCUAUGCCUGCAGGAUACCACAUCAAAGCAGAGUUGGGGGAGCAUUUCAGGAGGUUCCUGUGAAAAACCUACAUGCACACACCCCCACGUGCAGCUGCAGACUGCUAUCUAUACACGAAGUUAUGCAUCGCAGAGUCGACUGCAAAAGGCUGGAGCCCACACAGCGUCUAUCAAUAGGGAACGGGUUAAAUCGACCACAAGAUUUCCAUAUGACGAUGGAACACUUUCCAGCCAAGAAAGGAGGAGGAAGUCCUCACUGCUCUGAUACGGAACAGUCACCAAGACAUAUUUUAAGUAAAAAAAAGGCAGCAUGCAUAACCAGGGAAAUGAAAACUAAAACCACAGUGAGUUACAAUUUCACACAGAUCCAUCUACAAAAAAAAAAAAGCUGAUAAUUGCAGGUGUUGGUGAAGAAGUGGAGUGAGGGGAAUGCUCAAACUACUAGUGGGUGUGCGAAUGGUUAUAACCACUUUUUAAAAUUUUGGCAUUAUCUACUGAAGUUGACAAUGUACUUUCCCAAUGGCCUUGCAAAUGCCCUGGAGAAGUUCUUACCCAACCCCCGCCAUUCCCCCCAACACACACCAAAAGAAACAAUUAAGAACAUUUGCACCAGCUCUGUUCCUAGAACCCCAAAACUGAGGCCAGCACUGAGGCCAAGCACAGUGGCUCAUGCCUGUAAUCCCAGCAGGCAUGAGCCACCCUUUGGGAGCCUGAGGCCGGAGGA